CGGGGAAUAUUCCGCAAUGGACGAAAGUCUGACGGAGCAACGCCGCGUGAGUGAUGAAGGUUUUCGGACUGUAAAGCUCUGUUGUUUAGGACGAAAGUGCCUGUUGCGAACAGUUACAGGUAUUGACGGUACUAAACGAGGAAGCCACGGCUAACUACGUGCCAGCAGCCGCGGUAACACGUAGGUGGCAAGCGUUGUCCGGAAUUAUUGGGCGUAAAGAGCACGUAGGCGGAGAUUUAAGUCUGUUGUGAAAAUGCGGGGCUCAACCCCGUAUUGCGAUGGAAACUGAAUUUCUUGAGUGCAGGAGAGGAAAGGGGAAUUCCCAGUGUAGCGGUGAAAUGCGUAGAUAUUGGGAGGAACACCAGUGGCGAAGGCGCCUUUCUGGACUGUGUCUGACGCUGAGAUGCGAAAGCCAGGGUAGCGAACGG
rnacentral:rRNA from 1 species